GUUCUACACGUGCGGUUUCUCGCAUACGUCGUCACGCGAGCGAGAUUUUCCAGCACGUGAAAACGGCCGGUAUGAAAGGCUUUAAUUUCAUGCAACCCUGUUUGCUCCUUAAACGAACACGCCCCAGACGAAGAAAUGAAUACGGCGAAUAGGUGCCAAAAAUACGGCGAUUAAUUCAAAAUGACGCAUGCGUUGCAAAUUUUUUACUUGCCAAAAAAUUGAUGAGCGAAUCGGAGGUGCAGGCAAACGAAGAAAAAGGCGACUUGGGAAUUGUGGAUAGUAAUUUGGUAAUAUACGAGAAAGGAUCGUGAAAGAAAAAUACCUGGAAACGACGCCGAGUUCAAAAACAGGCAAGUGGAAGAAGCAGAGCCCCAAAGAAGCAGAAGAAAAAAAGCAAGCAGAAGAAGCAGCAUUAUUGGCAGGGGCAGAAGCGCAUUAGUAGCCCUUGAAGAAAAAAACGGGGAAAAAUCAAAGAUAUAUUUCAAUUGUCGAAGGCGGAGGUGUAAAGUGAUCGAAAGAAACAAAAUUUAUACAAAUAAAAGCAUACUCAUAUUUCAUUGGAUAAUUUGACGCAUCGUUCGUACAAAAGUAG